AGAAAUACAUGCAUGCACACACACACAAACACACACACACACACAAAUACAGAGAGAAGACUGGUCAUUAAAGCUACAACAUAGAUUUCACUUAAGAACCUCUCUAGAGAAGGCUCUGAACUCCAAUCACACUUUUUCACUAGGGAGAGAACAUUUCAGAGAGAAUAAGGGAGUCGGGAGAGGGAUGACCAGGGAAUCAAAUCAAAUAAGGAAAAAGGAAGGUCAGGAUUACUGAGGGCUAGUUAAGUCAGGUGUGGUAGCACUCACCUAUAAUCCCAGCACUCAGGAUACAGUCAUAAGGAUAAUGGAUGCAUGGCCAGUCUGGACUACUUAAACCCUGUGACAUGGAAACUUCUAGUUCUUUGGAAGGUUGGUUAUGCCAAAUGGUGUUUUGCUGGGCUACACAGGUGAAAGGAUGUCUUGCUAAGGCAAACACAUGAAAGACUGUUUUCCCGAAGCAGACACACGUGAAAGGAUAUUUGGCUAUAGCAGACACAUAAAAGAACUCUUGAUGAAGGAGUAUAAACAUGACCCCACAGACAGUGGGAGUCUGGCACUGAGCUUUGGUUUGCUUCACCUUGAUGUUCUUCACUAAAGACACGCAUGUAUUGGUUCACCUUACAGAGUGUUGUUGAGCUCAACUUGUGAUAACUCGGACAUUGAGAGAAACUCGCCCAAAAACUGCUCAUGAGGUUCCUGAGGUAGCUUGUCGCCUCUGUGGCCUCACCUCAGGCUGGUUGGUGAGCCAGGUGAUUGAACUGCAGUUGCCUGGUGUCUGCUGAAAGGACUGGACUGCGGCUCCUGGUUCCUGCCUAUUGUGUCCCUGCCUAGAGGACUGGUCUGCAGCUGCUGAAUUGUAUUUGGUGUUUGCUAUGGGACUGAACUGCUCACCCCUAAAAAACGGUUGCUGAACAGAUCCAAUCCCCCCAUCUCCUAAUAACUUUUCUCUUCCACUACCUCUGCUGGGUAGAGAAGAAGUUGAAACCUUAUUAAAAAAAUAGGUUGC
rnacentral:lncRNA from 1 species